rnacentral:rRNA from 1 species
UGGGGAAUAUUGGACAAUGGGCGAAAGCCUGAUCCAGCCAUGCCGCGUGUGUGAAGAAGGUCUUCGGAUUGUAAAGCACUUUAAGUUGGGAGGAAGGGCAGUAAGCGAAUACCUUGCUGUUUUGACGUUACCGACAGAAUAAGCACCGGCUAACUCUGUGCCAGCAGCCGCGGUAAUACAGAGGGUGCAAGCGUUAAUUGGAAUUACUGGGCGUAAAGCGCGCGUAGGUGGUUCGUUAAGUUGAAUGUGAAAGCCCCGGGCUCAACCUGGGAACUGCAUCCAAAACAGGCGAGCUAGAGUAGGGCAGAGGGUGGUGGAAUUUCCUGUGUAGCGGUGCAAUGCGUAGAUAUAGGAAGGAACACCAGUUGCGAAGGCGACCACCUGGGCUCAUACUGACACUGAGGUGCGAAAGCGUGGGGAGCAAACAGG